UAAACCAGUGGUUUAAAAGUGAUACCUAUACGAUUCCCAGACAAGGCUGAUGGUAAAUCUAUAAAAAAAAUGGAAGGCUAAGUCGUUCCAUCUUACGCAUAUUAUCCGAGGAACUUGUUCUGUCCCACAACUUGGAGGGGGGCAAAACAAGAAGAGGCUCAGACUACCCAAAUUUCGCCCGUGCCUUAUUAAAUGAAAUCGCCCUGGUGGAUCCCUCGGAGCCUCCCGAAAAGGCGCUGCAGAAGGCAAUGCGGUGCGUUAAAAACUUGAGUUGUACCAAAAAAAAGGCAACGCCGGCACCAG